AGUGAACGCUGGCGGUAGGCCUAACACAUGCAAGUCGAACGGCAGCACAGUAAGAGCUUGCUCUUACGGGUGGCGAGUGGCGGACGGGUGAGGAAUACAUCGGAAUCUACUUUUUCGUGGGGGAUAACGUAGGGAAACUUACGCUAAUACCGCAUACGACCUACGGGUGAAAGCAGGGGAUCUUCGGACCUUGCGCGAUUGAAUGAGCCGAUGUCGGAUUAGCUAGUUGGCGGGGUAAAGGCCCACCAAGGCGACGAUCCGUAGCUGGUCUGAGAGGAUGAUCGGCCACACUGGAACUGAGACACGGUCCAGACUCCUACGGGAGGCAGCAGUGGGGAAUAUUGGACAAAGGGCGCAAGCCUGAUCCAGCCAUACCGCGUGAGUGAAGAAGGCCUUCGGGUUGUAAAGCCCUUUUGUUGGGAAAGAAAAGCAGCAGGUUAAUACCCCGCUGUUCUGACGGUACCCAAAGAAUAAGCACCGGCUAACUUCGUG
rnacentral:rRNA from 1 species